CUUAUUGUAAAAAGUUCUUCGGCUCAGGUCAGAAAAAAAUAUUAUUGAAGACUUUAGGGGUAUUUCAAAAACACGCAAUCGUUGCAUUAGCAGUCACCAAAUACGACCUUCUUGAGAAAAGGGAAUUCGUCGUCAAAAUCCCGGAAAAUCGUCUGCUUCCCGCUGUGCGUCAACCGAGAGACAUAAGUUUGUGGAAAUUUGGUUGACCUAUUACCUAGUGAUAUUUCACCGUGAUAUUUCAGUACGAGUUAUAACAAAGAAAAUCCAUAUUCAAGACAACCAUAAGACAAAGAAGCAGGACAAAAAACACUGGAAGAACCACAACCAAGAAUAAGCAAUAAUUGACAACAGAAAUGGAGUGCAGCCAAAUGGGACCGAUUUUUCGUGAUCCCUCCCACAGCUCCCUACUCUGACAACACCCUUCUCUUCCAACAAUGCCUCCAAAAACAAGUAGGUAAAGUCUCUUUCCGUAGCCGACCCGACCGCUCCUGUCUUGUAACAGUAACAUCCGAAAACCAAGCCAUAGCAUUAACAAAACUAACUGACCUAUAUGGUAACCCCAUCCUAGCAGAACCCCAUCCAACCCUCAAUACUUGCACCGGAACAGUCUCAAUCUCACCAACAAAUUGCCCAAUCUAUGACAAAGAUUGGUCAGAUUGUGGAGAAGAUCUACUUGCCUGUCUCACAGACUACGAUGCAACAUCAGUACAAUGCUAUUCCAUCCCCCCCAGAGGUCAUCGAAAGAAACCCACUAACAUAGCCAAAAUUA